UACGUAGGGUGCGAGCGUUAAUCGGAAUUACUGGGCGUAAAGGGUGCGCAGGCGGCUCCGCAUGUCGGGCGUGAAAGCCCCGGGCUUAACCCGGGAAUGGCGUCCGAAACUAUGGAGCUGGAGUGUGGCAGAGGGAGGUGGAAUUCCACGUGUAGCGGUGAAAUGCGUAGAGAUCGGGAGGAACAUCAGUGGCGAAGGCGGCCAUCUGGAUCAACACUGACGCUGAGGCACGAAAGCGUGGGGAGCAAACAGGG
rnacentral:rRNA from 1 species